UUUGGGGGGGGAGUAAUUGACCACGACUUAUUUUUCUUGAAUCUGGCUCCUGUUGAUUUAUUUGCUUGGAUCUGAGUUUUCUGUGUACCAGACCAUGGACUGAACAUGAAACUGUGCCAGUUUUUUUCAUCUUUGCCUGCAUUGAACUAAUAUAGCUAAGAAUGAGAACUUGACAGACCUGUGGCCAGCUUGCAGACAUCCCUUAGGAGUGGUCGACACCUUGCUUGCCAGCCCCUGAAGUUGCCUACUGGCAGAACACGACUUUGGUUGGAGUCAGACCUAGAGGCUGCUACAGUAAAGACUCAGCCUUUGUACAUGGAGCAGAUGCU